AUUGAACGCUGGCGGCAGGCCUAACACAUGCAAGUCGAGCGGUACACAGAGGAGCUUGCUCCUUGGGUGACGAGCGGCGGACGGGUGAGUAAUGCCUGGGGAUCUGCCCGAUAGAGGGGGAUAACUACGGGAAACUGUAGCUAAUACCGCAUAACGUCUACGGACCAAAGUGGGGGCUCUUCGGACCUCAUGCUAUCGGAUGAACCCAGGUGGGAUUAGCUAGUUGGUGAGGUAAUGGCUCACCAAGGCGACGAUCGCUAACUGGUUUGAGAGAAUGACCAGUCAAACUGGAAAUGAGACACGGUCCAGACUCCUACGGGAGGCAGCAGUGGGGAAUAUUGCACAAUGGGCGCAAGCCUGAUGCAGCCAUGCCGCGUGUGUGAAGAAGGCCUUCGGGUUGUAAAGCACUUUCAGCGAGGAGGAAGGGUUACUAGCUAAUACCUAGUGACAUUGACGUUACUCGCAGAAGAAGCACCGGCUAACUCCGUGCCAGCCGCCGCAGUAA
rnacentral:rRNA from 1 species